AGAUUGAACGCUGGCGGCAGGCCUAACACAUGCAAGUCGAGCGGUAGAGAGGUGCUUGCACCCCUUGAGAGCGGCGGACGGGUGAGUAAUGCCUAGGAAUCUGCCUAGUGGUGGGGGAUAACGUUCGGAAACGGACGCUAAUACCGCAUACGUCCUACGGGAGAAAGGCGGGGGACCUUCGGGCCUCGCGCCAUUAGAUGAGCCUAGGUCGGAUUAGCUAGUUGGUGAGGUAUGGCUCACCGAAGGCGACGAUCCGUAACUGGUCGUGAGAGGAUGAUCAGUCACACUGGAACUGAGACACGGUCAGACUCCUACGGGAGCAGCGAGGUGGGAAUAGUUCGAGAAGUGGGACGAAACGCUGACUACCGA
rnacentral:rRNA from 1 species